rnacentral:rRNA from 1 species
GAUGAACGCUAGCUACAGGCUUAACACAUGCAAGUCGCGGGGCAGCAUGAAUUUAGCUUGCUAAAUUUGAUGGCGACCGGCGCACGGGUGAGUAACGCGUAUCCAACCUGCCCACCACUUGGGAAUAACCUUGCGAAAGUAAGACUAAUGCCCAAUGAUAUUGAGUGCAGACAUCUAAUCUCAAUUAAAGAUUUAUCGGUGAUGGAUGGGGAUGCGUCCGAUUAGCUUGUUGGCGGGGUAACGGCCCACCAAGGCAACGAUCGGUAGGGGUUCUGAGAGGAAGGUCCCCCACAUUGGAACUGAGACACGGUCCAGACUCCUACGGGAGGCAGCAGUGGGGAAUCUUCCGCAAUGGGCGAAAGCCUGACGGAGCAACGCCGCGUGAGUGAAGAAGGCCUUC